GACGAACGCUGGCGGCGUGCUUAACACAUGCAAGUGGAGCGACGAACCAGGGCUUGCCCUGGGGCAGAGCCGCGAACGGGUGAGUAACACGUGGGUAACGUGCCCCGAUGACUGGGACAACCCGGGGAAACCCGGGCUAAUACCGGAUGUGCCCCCUCACAUCAGUGAGGUGUGUAAAGGAAGCUUCGGCCUCCGCAUCGGGAUCGGCCCGCGGCCCAUUAGCUUGUUGGUGAGGUAACGGCUCACCAAGGCUGCGAUGGGUAGCUGGUCUGAGAGGACGAUCAGCCACACUGGGACUGAGACACGGCCCAGACUCCUACGGGAGGCAGCAGUGGGGAAUCUUGCGCAAUGCGCGAAAGCGUGACGCAGCAACGCCGCGUGGGGGAAGACGGCCUUCGGGUUGUAAACCCCUUUCAGUUGGGACGAAGGUCGGGCGGUUAACAGCCGUUCCGGCUGGCGGUACCUUCACAAGAAGCCCCGGCUAACUACGUG
rnacentral:rRNA from 1 species